CAGUAGCCGCGGUAAUACGGAGGGUGCAAGCGUUAAUCGGAAUUACUGGGCGUAAAGCGCACGCAGGCGGUCUGUCAAGUCAGAUGUGAAAUCCCCGGGCUUAACCUGGGAACUGCAUUUGAAACUGUCAGGCUGGAGUCUUGUAGAGGGGGGUAGAAUUCCAGGUGUAGCGGUGAAAUGCGUAGAGAUCUGGAGGAAUACCGGUGGCGAAGGCGGCCCCCUGGACAAAGACUGACGCUCAGGUGCGAAAGCGUGGGGAGCAAACAGGAUUAGAUACCCCGGUAGUCCCUGUCUCUUAUAC
rnacentral:rRNA from 1 species